rnacentral:rRNA from 1 species
UUCCAGACUCCUACGGGAGGCAGCAGUGGGGGAUAUUGCACAAUGGGGGGAACCCUGAUGCAGCGACGCCGCGUGGGCGAUGGAGUGCUUCGGCAUGUAAAGCCCUAUCAGCAGGGAAGAAAAUGACGGUACCUGACUAAGAAGCCCCGGCUAAAUACGUGCCAGCAGCCGCGGUAAUACGUAUGGGGCAAGCGUUAUCCGGAUUUACUGGGUGUAAAGGGAGCGUAGGCGGCCUGGCAAGCCCGAUGUGAAAUACCGGGGCUUAACCCCGGAACUGCUUUGGAAACUGUGCAGCUAGAGUGCAGGAGAGGUAAGUGGAAUUCCUAGUGUAGCGGUGAAAUGCGUAGAUAUUAGGAGGAACACCAGUGGCGAAGGCGGCUUACUGGACUGUAACUGACGUUGAGGCUCGAAAGCGUGGGGAGCAAACAGGAUUAGAUACCCCGGUA